rnacentral:rRNA from 1 species
GGCAGGCCUAACACAUGCAAGUCGAACGGCAGCACGGACUUCGGUCUGGUGGCGAGUGGCGAACGGGUGAGUAAUAUAUCGGAACGUAUCCAAUAAUGGGGGAUAACUAAGCGAAAGCUUGGCUAAUACCGCAUACGCCCUUAGGGGGAAAGCAGGGGAUCUUCGGACCUUGCGUUAAUGGAGCGGCCGAUAUCUGAUUAGCUAGUUGGUGGGGUAAAGGCCCACCAAGGCUUCGAUCAGUAGCUGGUCUGAGAGGACGACCAGCCACACUGGAACUGAGACACGGUCCAGACUCCUACGGGAGGCAGCAGUGGGGAAUUUUGGACAAUGGGCGCAAGCCUGAUCCAGCCAUUCCGCGUGAGUGAAGAAGGCUUCGGGUUGUAAAGCUCUUUCGCAAGGGAAGAAACGUUACGGGCGGAUAACCCGUGAAAU